AUGAGGGGACAUCCUCCACAAAUAUUGGGAAUUAUGGUCUAUAAGAGGACAUAAGGGAUAACCAUUUCUUUCAUCCAAAACACUAAACACAAAAUUCCAAUAUCUCUUUCUCCACUUGUUGAGUUCGGCCGAAACCCAACACCCACCCACCAUCACUUUCAAGUUUGAUUCUUGUAAUUUUUCAUAUACACAAGGGUGAAGGGUCACACACAAGGAGGCUUGGUGCUUACGGAAUCACAAGGACCUCACUACAUCGCUAUUAACCAUCCAUUUUUCGUCUAGUUUCUUCCCUAGCCUCGAGCUAGUAGUUACGACGUUAAUUAAGCAAAUCCGGUGAAGUUUACGACGCACAGGAACGCAAAGUUGUAACUAGGAUGGAUGUGCGCGUGAUCUUACUUAUGCUCGUGGAUGUCGCUUAUGUUUAUCUUUAAAUAAAGUUGUAAACUUUUAAGACAAUGUUUUAUGCGACCUAGCGAUGUAAACGCUAAACGUAUGUUUCAAAUUAUGGUAUUUGAAGUUAUUUUCAUGAGCAUGUAGUAUGUUUACCUUUCGUAUGCAAUGAGAACCUUUCAUGAUCACACCUCGUGCU
rnacentral:lncRNA from 1 species